CAGUUUCGUAUUUAGGUCUUAAAGAGUUUUUGCCACCACAUUUGGAUCCAAAUCUCACAAAUCAAGAACUCAUCUCAGGAGUCAGCUUUGCCUCUGAUGGUUUUGGUUAUGACACACUUACACCAACUCUCAGUAAUGUAAUUUCAAUUCGAAAAUAGUUGGAACAUUUCAAAGAAUACAAAAAUAGGUUGGAGAGGAUUCUUGGUAAACAGAAAAUAGAAGAUCAUAUGAAGAACGCUAUAUUUUUCAGAAGUGCAGGGACAAAUGACUUUGUUAUUAAUUAUUUUACAUUGCCAAUACGAAGAAAGACAGAGGAUAAGUUAUUGUUUGGAACGGAGAAUUGAAGGAAGUAAUUGGUAUCCAGAGGAAGAGAAAGAAGAGGACAGAGGAUAAGUUAUUGUUUUGCAGCAUGAAGCAGCAGCUACCUGGCGUUGAUGUUAAAUUGCAGAAGAUUGCAGAUUCUACGAGGUUAGUUGUUGUCAUCAGAUGAUUGAUGGUUAUCUGAUAUGCAAUGUAACAGUCAUACGAGGUGAAUUCAAGGGGCAUUGAAAUAUUUUGUAAGAGUUGGCUUCCUGAGGCAUCCAAGCCAAAAGCAACAGUGUUUUUCUGUGAUGGAUAUGGAGACAUCUGCACUUUGUUCUUUGAAGGCAUGUUCCUGGUAUUGAUAACAUGUAUCUGCAUUUAACUAGAGCAGUAAUGCUGUGAAUUAGCAACUCAAACGUGUCAUGGGAUUUUUUUCAGGCAUAGCUAGGAAGAUAGCAUUAGCUGGAUACGGAGUCUUUGCUAUGGAUUAUCUUGGAUUUGGCCUUUCACAAGGCCUCCAUGGCUAUAUCCCUAGUUUUGAUGGUCUUGUUGAUGAUGUCAUUGAACAUUACUCCAAAAUCAAAGCUGUCUUAGUCAAUAGCAUAACUAGAAUUAAAGCAUCAAACGUAUGAUGUGCAUUAGGAAACUAUGAUGUGCAGAAACCCCAAGGGUAACAUUAACAUUGUAGAGUUGAGAAAGGUCGCAGAAACUCACAAGGACAACUUAUCAGCACUUAUGGUAACAUAUCCCUCAACCUAUGAAUGUACCUACGAGCUUAGAUUAUUCCUGCGAGGCUGCGACCACUUUGAGCCUUUUCUUACUUUUCAUGAGAUAUACUUUUCUUUGAGUCUUUUCUAUUAUUCUUACUUUUCUUACUUUUCAUGAGAUAUACUUCAGUUCUAUGAAUGUACCUACGGGCUAUAUUAUACUUCAGUUCUAUUUUCUUUUAAAGGAAAAUGGAUGAUUGCAGGCUCAAUGUCAACAAUGAUGAAUUCUGUCUUAAAUAUUACAACCAGAGUGCAUAUAAGCUGUUAUCCAAGUGCUCUACGAAUCCUUGCAGCAUAGACCAAUAUACUAUGAUAUUUGCAUGGCAGUGAUGCAAUAUUGGAAUAUUUCUAAAAAAGUCUUGCCUCUUCCU